UCUGGAAAGGCGCGCGAUACAGGGUGACAGCCCCGUACACAAAAGCGCAUGUGCUGUGAGCUCGAUGAGUAGGGCGGGACACGUGGUAUCCUGUCUGAAUAUGGGGGGACCAUCCUCCAAGGCUAAAUACUCCUGACUGACCGAUAGUGAACCAGUACCGUGAGGGAAAGGCGAAAAGAACCCCGGCGAGGGGAGUGAAAAAGAACCUGAAACCGUGUACGUACAAGCAGUGGGAGCACAGGUUUACCUGUGUGACUGCGUACCUUUUGUAUAAUGGGUCAGCGACUUAUAUUCUGUAGCAAGGUUAACCGUAUAGGGGAGCCGAAGGGAAACCGAGUCUUAACCGGGCGUUAAGUUGCAGGGUAUAGACCCGAAACCCGGUGAUCUAGCCAUGGGCAGGUUGAAGGUUGGGUAACACUAACUGGAGGACCGAACCGACUAAUGUUGAAAAAUUAGCGGAUGACCUGUGGCUGGGGGUGAAAGGCCAAUCAAACCGGGAGAUAGCUGGUUCUCCCCGAAAGCUAUUUAGGUAGCGCCUCGUGAAUUCAUCUCCGGGGGUAGAGCACUGUUUCGGCUAGGGGGCCAUCCCGGCUUACCAACCCGAUGCAAACUGCGAAUACCGGAGAAUGUUAUCACGGGAGACACACGGCGGGUGCUAACGUCCGUCGUGAAGAGGGAAACAACCCAGACCGCCAGCUAAGGUCCCAAAGUCAUGGUUAAGUGGGAAACGAUGUGGGAAGGCCCAGACAGCCAGGAUGUUGGCUUAGAAGCAGCCAUCAUUUAAAGAAAGCGUAAUAGCUCACUGGUCGAGUCGGCCUGCGCGGAAGAUGUAACGGGGCUAAACCAU
rnacentral:rRNA from 1 species